rnacentral:rRNA from 2 species
UACGAAGGGGGCUAGCGUUGUUCGGAAUCACUGGGCGUAAAGCGCAUGCAGGCGGAUCGAUAAGUCGGGGGUGAAAGCCCGAGGCUCAACCUCGGAACUGCCUUCGAUACUGUCGAUCUUGAGUCCGGGAGAGGUGAGUGGAACUCCGAGUGUAGAGGUGAAAUUCGUAGAUAUUCGGAAGAACACCAGUGGCGAAGGCGGCUCACUGGCCCGGUACUGACGCUGAGAUGCGAAAGCGUGGGGAGCAAACAGG